CCCAUCCAUGUUGUCCUCCUCAUUUUUCUCCACGUGUCAGAAACUAAUAACGCGUCUGUUUCACUUGUGUGGGCCCGGAGAUGAAAAUGGACAGUAAAUAUCAUCCACAACCUCGGAUGAGAUAGUAGUUAGUGGGUCCCACCGUGAAGUAAAGACAUCAGAAAUGACAAAAGAGGUGGGGUGAAAGAAACUGGUGAGUCAGCUCAAUGCACGGACUGUACCUGAAUCUCAAUCGUCAAUAUCAUCUACGUAAAUGGACGGUUCAGAUCUAUUACAAGAACCUUACCAACUAAGUGGCGGUUUGGAUACCUAAAAAUAUAUGAUAUGUG
rnacentral:lncRNA from 1 species